GAACAUGUUUUUAAUUAAAUUGAUUAUUGGUGAGAACAUUUAUCACAGAACUGGGACACUUAAUUUUUUUUCCCUUUCUACUAAAGAUGUUCAAAUUUAUAUCUUCCAGAGUAUCCAAAUUAUGUAUCUAGAGAUGAGGCUUGGUUACAUUUUCUACCAGUGCUGCAAGGAAUGAGGUCAGAAAGAAAAAAAUAAAAGACACUGUUUUAUGUAAUGCUCAUGUCAUAAAAAUAUAAUUGAUAUUACCGAAUGUAUUUUCAGUCAUGAAACAAAUUCAUCUUCAGCAUGUACUCCAAUGAAGUGAUAUAAUGAAACUGUUUUCAAGGCUUGAAAUAAUAAUUGUCCUUGUUACAAAUAUCCAACCUUGGGAUAUUUACAGUACCUCGGGAACCUCUACAGAUGACUCUUCCGCUGGUCAUUUUGCUGUCACGUCUGAUAUAAGCAUCAGGGCACAGAAGAAGCACUGAAAGAGGAACAUACGCUACUACUUAACUGUUCGCUUCCAUGACAGAUAUUGAGGGUCAUCAGAUCUAAUGGAAGACACUGAAAACACUGAAAUCUUCAGAGGAGGUGGACUUUAAGGGAUGACUGAGGGAACAAUACACUUGGAAAAGCGGUGAUUUCUGAAUUUUCCUGUGAAUGCAGUGUCACUGUUAUGACUGGAAGAGACGAUACUGUGAUCGUAGGGAGCUUAUGGAGAAAAAAACCAAACAAAUCAGCCAGUGGAAUGGCAACAAACGAGAUGGAUUUGCUGUAACCACAGCAAACGCAGACCCUGGGAAACAAGGAAGGACAAAGAAGACAAAGAAAAUAAUUUGAUUACUUCCUUCCGCUCUUCAUGCUGCUUUUAGCUGUUCUUGGAAACCUGUUAGAAAUCUGGCUAUUUCUAGUUGGCUGAUGUAGAGAGUGAAUUAACGCUGAAGGGCACAGAGCGUGUGAUGAAGCUGUUCUGUC